rnacentral:rRNA from 1 species
AUUGAACGCUGGCGGCAUGCUUUACACAUGCAAGUCGAACGGCAGCACAGGGAGCUUGCUCCCGGGUGGCGAGUGGCGCACGGGUGAGUAAUACAUCGGAACGUGUCCUGUUGUGGGGGAUAACUGCUCGAAAGGGUGGCUAAUACCGCAUGAGACCUGAGGGUGAAAGCGGGGGAUCGCAAGACCUCGCGCAAUUGGAGCGGCCGAUGCCCGAUUAGCUAGUUGGUGAGGUAAAGGCUCACCAAGGCGACGAUCGGUAGCUGGUCUGAGAGGACGACCAGCCACACUGGGACUGAGACACGGCCCAGACUCCUACGGGAGGCAGCAGUGGGGAAUUUUGGACAAUGGGGGCAACCCUGAUCCAGCCAUGCCGCGUGCAGGAUGAAGGCCUUCGGGUUGUAAACUGCUUUUGUCAGGGACGAAAAGGACCGUGUUAAUACCAUGGUCUGCUGACGGUACCUGAAGAAUAAGCACCGGCUAACUACGUGCCAGCAGCCGCGGUAAUACGUAGGGUGCAAGCGUUAAUCGGAAUUACUGGGCGUAAAGCGUGCGCAGGCGGUUCUGUAAGACAUAUGUGAAAUCCCCGGGCUCAACCUGGCAAUUGCAUUUGUGACUGCAGGACUAGAGUUCAUCAGA